GGGUGGGAGCGGAAGGCUCUCGUUGUCCGGGGAGGCCUGGGAAUUGGCCCCUGUGCCCACAGAGGCUGGGGCUGCGCCGCCCACCCGAUCUCGGGUGGCCACGGCCUGAGGAGCGGGCCCGUGGGUGAGGGGGGUGCCCCACCCGGGAGUGGCUGGCUAUCCCAGGGGCACCAGGAGAUAGGGUAGGGGCACAAGGAGUUUUGGAAUUAGAAUUAGCUGGGAACAAAGGGUGGGAUCCACCUUGAAGGGCUUUGUGCUUUCCACGACUGGGGUAGGGAGCUGCCCCGGGGCUGGGGGCUGGAGGUUUGGAGGGUCCCCAGGACUAGGGAGGGGCAAUCUGAGCCUCCUACCCCUACGCAGGGCAGCGCGGGGCGGGGGGGGGGGGUGGGCAGCUUUCCCUGUUGCAAGACUGCACAUUAGUGUGCUGUAUUUGACAGAGGGCUUCGGCCGGCUCCAUUUUGACCUCACCCUUGCCAGUUGGCCUCUCCCUUCCAGCUGGUCUGUUGGCAAAGCACCCCCAGAUGGGAACCGAGACUACCCCCUCCAGCAGAGGGACUGCCCCCGAGCCAGCAAGAUCCCGCCCCGGAACACACAGUCCCUUUGACCUUCACUGCCCACCCGCACGCACCCGCCUCCCUCCGCCCCACGUUUUUGUUCUACAAACCUGGAAGUAUUCUCUGUCUUCCCGGUGUUGGCCUCACCGAACUAAGUCCCUUUCCUGUUUCACUACCCCUAGUUUCUCUGUCUUUGGAGUUUGGAGGGGCUGAACUUGGUGUGUUUGGGGCCCUCGAACCGGGUGCCUCUGCGCCCCGGCGCCCUGCCUACGCGUUGUUACAAUAACCAACCGGUUAUUAACCCAAGUCCGUAGUCAGAACUCAGAUUUCCUCAGCUUGCCUCUAAUGUCCUUGCUCUGCCCUGGGACCACACUGCAUUUGUUGUCACAUCCCCUCUUAGACUUUCUUCAUGUUUAACCGCCUGGACAGUUUGGUUUGUCUGGUGUUUUUGUCACGAGUAGCCCGGGUGGUGGUUAUAGAGACGAGGAGUUGCCAGGAUGACUCACCGCUGUAUGUCGACCUCGGUCAUCGAGGUCAUCGGGCUGGGGUCGUGCCUGUACUUCAGGUGUCUCCACUUUAAAGUGAACCCCGCCCCCGCCCCGUCCAAUCCCCUCAUUUCCUAGUCACUUUCAUCAGCCCCUUUCCCCCAAUCCCGUUCAGCAAGGUGGUUGCAUACACCUGUAAUCCACCCAGAUUCUUCGGUGGGUCUGCGUUCCUUCCUGGGAUCCCCCACUUUCCCGAAGGAUUAUUUUAAAAUGUGUGCAUGUGAAGCUUCACUCUUUCCGCUGUCCACUUCUCUGGGUCUUGACUUCUCCAGGGUGUCCGGCCUCCCAGCCCUAAACAUCUAGGCUUCCCCCAGCCACCCGGGACUCCCCUGUCUCAAACCCUUGGCAACCCCUGACGUGGUCCCCGUCUCUACCUUUUUUGCCUCUUCUGGAAUGUCACAUAAAGAGAAUCUUACAGUAUGUUGCUGUUUUCAGGCGGACUUGUUUCACCGAGCAGUCACUUUAUCCAUUCACCUACCUGAGGACAUCAGGGUGGCUUCCAGUGUUGGCGUGAUGAUGAACAAAGCUGCUCUAAACAUUUCCGUGCUGCUGUUUGUGUAGACGUUUGGUAUUUCACAUUGAGGCCUGUGGUCAACCCUGAGCUAAUUUUUCUCUAAGGGGUCCCCUGAAAGGAUUUUGAAAAGCUCUUUAUCCCCACCACUCAACACACGUGUGCAUCUUGAAGUUGACGUCUACGAUAUUUCAAUGGAUGUUCAAACAGUUGCAAAGGGUGUGCUUUCUGGUGUCUUAUAAAUACUGUUAAAAAAAAAAACAAACCCACAACAACCGUGAUACCACUUUUGACAUGAGGCCAAUGGCAUUAAAAUCACCCGGUGAACUGA